GCUGGUACAGUUCUUGCAGGAGAGCUUUCACUAAUGUCUGCUAUUGCAGCUGGACAGCUUGUGAAGAGUCACAUGAAAUACAACAGAUCCAGCAGAGACAUUGGCCCUUCGUCUCAAGUCAACAGAUGAUAUUUGGAGCACAAUGAGACAGAUGAUAAUAAAACCAAAAAAACAAACUUAGAUUGAUGUAAUUUUAACCUCAUUUGAUUUUCUUCCUCCAUCGAUCUCUUUUCUAUCUGUUUGUACUCUUUAAGUCUCCAAAUGGUCUUAAUUUAUGUAAAGUCAUUUUUUGUCCUUCCAUCUUUAUGUCUUAUAUCAUAAUUUUUGAAAGUCUCAUAGACUAGUGUAUAUAAGUCACUUUCACAAAUUACAAAUAUAAGAAAAUUGCUAUUAUUUUUCACAUUUCAAGCUUUACAAGAGUGUUUGAGGUGUAAAAAACGAUGGGAAGUGAGGUUUCCAUGGAGAGGAGAAGAGCGGCGCACUGAGAAUCAGAAGAAGUAGCCAACAGCCGAGGCUUAAGUAGUGACGAGAGCGAGAAAACAAAUCUCGAGGGGACUUGAGGAAAAAUAGAAAGCUUAUGGAAGUUUUAUACAUGGUGGGACUGGUGUUGAUGUGCUUCUGGAGGCUUGGAUCAACAAGAAAAGUCAAAAGUUCCAUUUGCUUGUAGUACCUAGUUGUUAGCUAUACUUGAUGCUUGAUGGGAUCAAUGUGAUAAGCCUUUGGGUUUCAACAUCAUCUUCUGGGCAACAUAAGAUGUUUUUGCAGUUUAUAACAUAGCAUCAAGAUGUGUGAUUAAGGCUUUAUUAACUGUCGUAUUGUUUCUAGCCAUGAAUUUUAUAACAUUGGUUUGAUCAUUGUGGUAGUGUUUGUGUUGAUUUGAUGAUAUACAUGACAAGAGUUUGGUUCUAAUAAAUCUGUGGAAACUACGUAUUAUACUGUGCAACCUCGUGCAGAUUAGUGGGCAACUGGAUUUACACUGUGGGCAAAAUGAAUCGUGUCUUUUGUGUGUAAUCGGAGAAUCACAAAAGAAAAAAAAAAAACAAAAAAUGGGAACCCUAGGAAGAGCGAUUUACACUGUGGGCAACUGGAUUCGUGGGACUGGUCAAGCUCUUGAUCGUGUUGGUUCUCUUCUUCAAGGAAGCCACCGCAUCGAAGAACAUCGUAAGCUUCUUCAGAUCCUUCCCUUGCUUACGCUCUUUUAAGCUCUAGAUCCAAUUCGUAUCUCUAAUUUGUGUCUUCACCAGAGAAAUUUGUGGGUCUCAUUGGGUUCGUUUUGAUUUUACAGUGUCGAGGCAUAGGACGUUGAUGAAUGUGUUUGAUAAAUCUCCAUUGGUGGAUAAGGAUGUAUUUGUGGCUCCGGGUGCUUCUGUUAUUGGUGAUAUUCACAUCGGGAAAGGCUCGUCGAUUUGGUAUGGGUGUGUUCUUCGAGGUGAGGAUUUGAUUUUUUUCACUAAGCCUGAAGAGGUUUUGGUUCCAUGUUAUUACUCCUGUGAGCAUAGAAAUGGAAAUAGAGAGUCUUAGUGGUGUUUGGUUCAAAUGAAGUACCAAAUUUGCAGCAUUAUACUGUGCAACCUCGUGCAAAUUAGCCAUAGGCUUAUAAGUUUAGUCUGCUGUAUGCCUCAACUGUUAGUGUUAAGGAUUGAAUCCUAUUGUCGUUGACCUCUCUGAGAUCUGUGCUCUCAUUGGUUUCGUUGCUUCGUUUAUCUACCUCCUUGGUUUCUGCGGUAUCGAUCUUCUUCCGAUGAUGAUGUUUGGGUUAACGAUGAAGAUUUCAGGAGGAAGGUUCCAUGUGACCAAUCCCUAGAUUGUUCUGUUAAACCUAGUUCCAUUGAUCAUUCCCCUGUUUCUGGUCUUGAUUCAGUGGAAGAUGAAGAGAUUGUUAAAUCGGUGAUUGAAGGAACCAUCCCAUCUAACUCAUUGGAGGCGAAGCUCGGAGAAUGUAAACGAGCAGCAGCGAUUAGAAGAGAAGCGGUUCAGAGGAUAACCGGAAAAUCCUUGACCGGUCUUCCAUUGGAAGGUUUCGAUUACGAUUCGAUUUUGGGGCAAUGCUGUGAGAUGCCAGUUGGGUAUGUUCAGAUCCCUGUGGGAAUUGUUGGACCUUUGUUGCUCGAUGGGGUUGAGUAUUCAGUGCCAAUGGCUACAACAGAAGGUUGUUUGGUUGCUAGUACAAACAGAGGUUGUAAAGCUAUUAACUUGUCCGGAGGUGCUUCUAGUGUUCUCUUGAAAGAUGCAAUGACUAGAGCUCCAGUUGUUAGAUUCCCUUCUGCAAGAAGAGCUGCUCUUGUCAUGUUUUAUCUGCAAGAUCCUGCUAAUUUUGAGAGAUUGUCUCUCAUGUUCAACAAGUGAGUUUGAGAAACUUUGUACCUUCUACUUUGUGCUAGGAUGGAUGGUGAUUUUUGAUUGGAUUUUGAUUUUUGUUGUAUAUGUGUAUAGAUCGAGUAGAUUUGCUAGGCUUCAGAGUAUUAAAUGCACGAUUGCUGGGAGGAAUCUCUAUCUGAGGUUUUCGUGUAGUACUGGUGAUGCUAUGGGGAUGAACAUGGUCUCCAAAGGUGUUCAGAAUGUCUUGGAUUUCAUAAAGAGCGAGUUUCCUGACAUGGAUGUUAUUGGCAUCUCAGGUAAUUUCUUCUUUCUAUCUUUAGUAUAGUCUCGAUUUUUGAAUCAAAGUCUACCUCUUUUUAAUUAAUUGUUGGUGCUAUGGUGUCCAGGAAAUUACUGUUCGGACAAGAAGGCUUCAGCUGUAAACUGGAUCGAAGGACGCGGUAAGCAUGUUGUAUGUGAAGCUGUUAUUAAGGGUGAGAUUGUGGAGAAAGUGUUGAAGACUAGCGUUGAGGCACUUGUAGAGCUUAACAUGCUCAAGAACCUUGCUGGUUCAGCCAUGGCUGGUUCUCUUGGUGGGUUCAAUGCUCAUGCAAGCAAUAUUGUCAGCGCUCUGUUCAUCGCCACUGGCCAAGACCCAGCUCAAAACGUGGAGAGCUCACACUGUAUCACCAUGCUUCUUGCCGAUGGCGACGACCUUCACAUCUCUGUCACAAUGCCUUGCAUUGAGGUAUAGUGCAUGUUCUAUCAGUAAUUACACAAAUUAUUGCGGAGAAGACAAAGCCGUUGGUACUUUGAAUAUUGUUGUAUCCAACUCAUGAACUUAUUUUAAUGAUUUGUGGUUUCAGGUUGGUACUGUUGGAGGUGGGACACAACUUGCAUCACAAUCAGCUUGUUUGAAUCUGCUUGGUGUGAAAGGAUCAAAGAAGGAAGCGCCUGGCUCAAACGCACAGCAAUUGGCAAGAAUAGUGGCUGGUACGGUACUUGCAGGAGAGCUUUCCCUAAUGUCUGCUAUUGCAGCUGGACAGCUUGUGAAGAGUCACAUGAAAUACAACAGAUCCAGCAGAGACAUUGGCCCUUCAUCUCAAGUCAACAGAUGAUAUUUGGAGCACGAUGAGACAGAUGAUAAUAAAAUAAAAAACCCAAACUUAGAUUGAUGUAAUUUUAACCUCAUUUUGAUUUCUUUCCUUCAUCGAUCUCUUUUCUAUCUGUUUGUACUCUUUAAGUCUCCAAAUGGU
rnacentral:lncRNA from 1 species